UACGUAGGGUGCGAGCGUUGUCCGGAAUUAUUGGGCGUAAAGAGCUUGUAGGCGGUCUGUCGCGUCUGCUGUGAAAAUCCGGGGCUCAACCCCGGACUUGCAGUGGGUACGGGCAGACUAGAGUGUGGUAGGGGAGACUGGAAUUCCUGGUGUAGCGGUGAAAUGCGCAGAUAUCGAGAGGAACACCUGCGGCGAAGGCGGGUAGCUGGGCCGACACUGACGCUGAGGCGCGAAAGCCAGGGGAGCGAACGGG
rnacentral:rRNA from 1 species